rnacentral:snoRNA from 1 species
GGCCUCUCACCCCUUGGGCUGCUGGGGAUCCCCCUGCUCCUCAGCCAGGGCUGGAGGCCAAGAUCAGCCCUAGAGGAGCAUCGUCAGAGCUGCCGCGAGCGGGCAGCCUUGUUUUCCUGCCUCUGACAAGU